rnacentral:rRNA from 1 species
UAUGUACGGAAUGGAUAAGCGCUGAAAGCAUCUAAGCGCGAAGCCAACUUCAAGAUAAGAUUUCCCACCGCAAGGGUAAGACCCCAGAAAGACUAUCUGGUUGAUAGGUCGAAGGUGUAAGUGCAGUAAUGUAUUUAGCUUAUCGAUACUAAUAGGUCGAGGACUUGACCAA